GGUCCAAUAGUCUAGGUGGUUAGGACGUGGGAUUCUGAUAAUUCAAGAAUCUUCCCGAAACCUCGGUUCGAAUCCGGGUUGGACCU